rnacentral:rRNA from 1 species
AUGAGUAGGGCGGGACACGUGGUAUCCUGUCUGAAUAUGGGGGGACCAUCCUCCAAGGCUAAAUACUCCUGACUGACCGAUAGUGAACCAGUACCGUGAGGGAAAGGCGAAAAGAACCCCGGCGAGGGGAGUGAAAAAGAACCUGAAACCGUGUACGUACAAGCAGUGGGAGCCUCUUUUAUGGGGUGACUGCGUACCUUUUGUAUAAUGGGUCAGCGACUUAUAUUCUGUAGCAAGGUUAACCGAAUAGGGGAGCCGAAGGGAAACCGAGUCUUAACCGGGCGUUAAGUUGCAGGGUAUAGACCCGAAACCCGGUGAUCUAGCCAUGGGCAGGUUGAAGGUUGGGUAACACUAACUGGAGGACCGAACCGACUAAUGUUGAAAAAUUAGCGGAUGACUUGUGGCUGGGGGUGAAAGGCCAAUCAAACCGGGAGAUAGCUGGUUCUCCCCGAAAGCUAUUUAGGUAGCGCCUCGUGAAUUCAUCUCCGGGGGUAGAGCACUGUUUCGGCAAGGGGGUCAUCCCGACUUACCAACCCGAUGCAAACUGCGAAUACCGGAGAAUGUUAUCACGGGAGACACACGGCGGGUGCUAACGUCCGUCGUGAAGAGGGAAACAACCCAGACCGCCAGCUAAGGUCCCAAAGUCAUGGUUAAGUGGGAAACGAUGUGGGAAGGCCCAGACAGCCAGGAUGUUGGCUUAGAAGCAGCCAUCAUUUAAAGAAAGCGUAAUAGCUCACUGGUCGAGUCGGCCUGCGCGGAAGAUGUAACGGGGCUAAACCAUGCACCGAAGCUGCGGCAGCGACACUGUGUGUUGUUGGGUAGGGGAGCGUUCUGUAAGCCUGUGAAGGUGUGCUGUGAGGCAUGCUGGAGGUAUCAGAAGUGCGAAUGCUGACAUAAGUAACGAUAAAGCGGGUGAAAAGCCCGCUCGCCGGAAGACCAAGGGUUCCUGUCCAACGUUAAUCGGGGCAGGGUGAGUCGACCCCUAAGGCGAGGCCGAAAGGCGUAGUCGAUGGGAAACAGGUUAAUAUUCCUGUACUUGGUGUUACUGCGAAGGGGGGACGGAGAAGGCUAUGUUGGCCGGGCGACGGUUGUCCCGGUUUAAGCGUGUAGGCUGGUUUUCCAGGCAAAUCCGGAAAAUCAAGGCUGAGGCGUGAUGACGAGGCACUACGGUGCUGAAGCAACAAAUGCCCUGCUUCCAGGAAAAGCCUCUAAGCAUCAGGUAACAUCAAAUCGUACCCCAAACCGACACAGGUGGUCAGGUAGAGAAUACCAAGGCGCUUGAGAGAACUCGGGUGAAGGAACUAGGCAAAAUGGUGCCGUAACUUCGGGAGAAGGCACGCUGAUAUGUAGGUGAAGUCCCUCGCGGAUGGAGCUGAAAUCAGUCGAAGAUACCAGCUGGCUGCAACUGUUUAUUAAAAACACAGCACUGUGCAAACACGAAAGUGGACGUAUACGGUGUGACGCCUGCCCGGUGCCGGAAGGUUAAUUGAUGGGGUCAGCGCAAGCGAAGCUCUUGAUCGAAGCCCCGGUAAACGGCGGCCGUAACUAUAACGGUCCUAAGGUAGCGAAAUUCCUUGUCGGGUAAGUUCCGACCUGCACGAAUGGCGUAAUGAUGGCCAGGCUGUCUCCACCCGAGACUCAGUGAAAUUGAACUCGCUGUGAAGAUGCAGUGUACCCGCGGCAAGACGGAAAGACCCCGUGAACCUUUACUAUAGCUUGACACUGAACAUUGAGCCUUGAUGUGUAGGAUAGGUGGGAGGCUUUGAAGUGUGGACGCCAGUCUGCAUGGAGCCGACCUUGAAAUACCACCCUUUAAUGUUUGAUGUUCUAACGUGGACCCGUGAUCCGGGUUGCGGACAGUGUCUGGUGGGUAGUUUGACUGGGGCGGUCUCCUCCUAAAGAGUAACGGAGGAGCACGAAGGUUGGCUAAUCCUGGUCGGACAUCAGGAGGUUAGUGCAAUGGCAUAAGCCAGCUUGACUGCGAGCGUGACGGCGCGAGCAGGUGCGAAAGCAGGUCAUAGUGAUCCGGUGGUUCUGAAUGGAAGGGCCAUCGCUCAACGGAUAAAAGGUACUCCGGGGAUAACAGGCUGAUACCGCCCAAGAGUUCAUAUCGACGGCGGUGUUUGGCACCUCGAUGUCGGCUCAUCACAUCCUGGGGCUGAAGUAGGUCCCAAGGGUAUGGCUGUUCGCCAUUUAAAGUGGUACGCGAGCUGGGUUUAGAACGUCGUGAGACAGUUCGGUCCCUAUCUGCCGUGGGCGCUGGAGAACUGAGGGGGGCUGCUCCUAGUACGAGAGGACCGGAGUGGACGCAUCACUGGUGUUCGGGUUGUCAUGCCAAUGGCACUGCCCGGUAGCUAAAUGCGGAAGAGAUAAGUGCUGAAAGCAUCUAAGCACGAAACUUGCCCCGAGAUGAGUUCUCCCUGACCCUUUAAGGGUCCUGAAGGAACGUUGAAGACGACGACGUUGAUAGGCCGGGUGUGUAAGCGCAGCGAUGCGUUGAGCUAACCGGUACUAAUGAACCGUGAGGCUUAACCUUACAACGCCGAAGGUGUUU